GUCGAGCGAAGCACUCUGCUUUGAUUCCUUCGGGAUGAAGAGCAUUGUGACUCAUCGGCGGACGGGUGAGUAACGCGUGGGUAACCUGCCUCAUACAGGGGGAUAACAGUUAGAAAUGGCUGCUAAUACCGCAUAAGACCACAGCACCGCAUGGUGCAGGGGUAAAAACUCCGGUGGUAUGAGAUGGACCCGCGUCUGAUUAGCUAGUUGGUGGGGUAACGGCCUACCAAGGCGACGAUCAGUAGCCGACCUGAGAGGGUGACCGGCCACAUUGGGACUGAGACACGGCCCAAACUCCUACGGGAGGCAGCAGUGGGGAAUAUUGCACAAUGGGGGAAACCCUGAUGCAGCGACGCCGCGUGAGCGAAGAAGUAUUUCGGUAUGUAAAGCUCUAUCAGCAGGGAAGAAAAUGACGGUACCUGACUAAGAAGCCCCGGCUAACUACGUGCCAGCAGCCGCGGUAAUACGUAGGGGGCAAGCGUUAUCCGGAUUUACUGGGUGUAAAGGGAGCGUAGACGGCGAGGCAAGUCUGAUGUGAGAACCCGGGGCUCAACCCCGUGACUGCAUUGGAAACUGUUUUGCUUGAGUGCCGGAGAGGUAAGCGGAAUUCCUAGUGUAGCGGUGAAAUGCGUAGAUAUUAGGAGGAACACCAGUGGCGAAGGCGGCUUACUGGUCGGCAACUGACGUUGAGGCUCGAAAGCGUGGGGAGCAAACAGGAUUAGAUACCCUGGUAGUCCACGCCGUANACGAUGAAUACUAGGUGUCGGGGAGCNAA
rnacentral:rRNA from 1 species